UUAACCCUUGUGGAGGAGGACGCCGAAGGUGGGGCUAAUGACUGGGGUGAAGUCGUAACAAGGUAGCCGUACCGGAAGGUGCGGCUGGAUCACCUCCUAACAGGGAGACAACAAAAUGUUAAAUAUUAAUUUUGUCACCUUAGGUCGAUCGGUAUCUCACAUUCUUAAAUUAUUAAGAAUUUCAUUUUCUAAGUUUUUUCUAGGUCACACCCAUUACUUUUCCUGGGCCAUUAGCUCAGGUGGUUAGAGCGCACCCCUGAUAAGGGUGAGGUCCCUGGUUCAAGUCCAGGAUGGCCCAUAUCUCUGUGUUGGGGGUAUAGCUCAGUUGGUAGAGCGCCUGCUUUGCAAGCAGGAUGUCAGCGGUUCGAGUCCGCUUACCUCCACUGAUCACCACCUCUUCCAUAAGUUAUAGAAGGGAAAUGUUUUUGAGUUGUGAUCAAAUUCUGAACGAAUCUAGCUUCCUAAUCAAAUUUAUUAAGAUGCUGGACUCAUUGAAUUAAAUUCAUUGUUUUCAGAGAACCUUGACAACUGCAUAGAUUUUUUUUAAAGACAAUAAGCAUCUUUAAUGAUGCAGAUUGAUUAUUUGUGCGAAUGCAUUAAUAACAAUUCUAUUAAGCUGAUGCUUCAAUUUUUGAAGUUAUUGGUCAAGCUACAAAGGGCUCACGGAGGAUACCUAGGCACACAGAGGCGA
rnacentral:misc_RNA from 1 species